rnacentral:lncRNA from 1 species
AGACUUUGGAGCAGGUGAUCCUUGGACGCCCACAGUACAUCACCUUCAUGAGCGCAUCAGUGAACACCAGUCUAAGGAAGACAUCUCUGAACGUAAUUUUGGAGAUUUUGAUGAGUUCCAUUGAAACAAGGAGGAAUGUGAUGUCCAGUAUCAGUUCUGCAGACCCAAGGACAAAGAAAAUUCUGUGAUAAACUCAUCCAGUGUGACUGUAAUGAUACAAGACACCGGACUUUCAAAUCAACAAUUGUUUCAAAAGACUCCUACUGGAUUCCUGCUAGUGAUGGGAGAAAAUUAUCAUUCUGCUAGUUAAUCUGUAGCCAGAGAUGAUUAAGGAGGUCAUUAAAGGAAAACAAGCUGCCCACCAUGCUGAUGCCUGGUUGUUCAGAUCGUUGAGGUGGUGUAGAGAUGACGCACACUGGCUCAGUUUACCCACAUUUGGAUCUACGGACCUGCAAGUCCUCUGUCAUGACACACCAGCCCUGGGAUAUCACAUAAGCUACAGGUCAGACGCUGCUUUCCAGACAGAAUUAUGGAGAAGACAACCAUCAUUUUGGCCCUGCUGGAAAUUUUCCAUGCUCUUCAUUCGUUCUCCUGUAUUUCCUAACGCCAAUAAAAGAGGAGAUCCCU